GAGUUUGAUCCUGGCUCAGAUUGAACGCUGGCGGCAUGCCUUACACAUGCAAGUCGAACGGCAGCACGGGAGCUUGCUCCUGGUGGCGAGUGGCGAACGGGUGAGUAAUGCAUCGGAACGUAUCCUGGAGUGGGGGAUAACGUAGCGAAAGUUACGCUAAUACCGCAUAUUCUGUGAGCAGGAAAGCGGGGGACCUUCGGGCCUCGCGCUCUUGGAGCGGCCGAUGUCGGAUUAGCUAGUUGGUGAGGUAAAGGGCUCACCAAGGCGACGAUCCGUAGCAGGUCUGAGAGGAUGAUCUGGCCACACUGGAACUGAGACACGGUCCAGACUCCUACGGGAGGCGAGCAGUGGGGAAUUUUGGACAAUGGGGGCAACCCUGAUCCAGCCAUGCCGCGUGAGUGAAGAA
rnacentral:rRNA from 1 species